UGUACUUCUCAGCAUUUUUCCCUUAAACCAAAUGCACCAUCUGCUUGUUGCUUUGGACAUAUGUUAUACAUGUAAACAUUUUUGAAAGGCCUGCUAGUGGUUUUAGUUUUUGGAGUUUUUUCCAGUGUGGCUGCAAAUAAAUGAAGAUCAAACAUUGCAAUUUUUGUUGCUACAAGCUGGAACUACUAUUUGGGCCCUUCAUGCAUCUGCUGUUGCUGUGUGUAUGGAGCACAUUGGGAUAUAUAACACCCAAGUUUCUGAAAGUUAGUCAAAUUCAUUCUGUUGUCAAGAAGUACAUAAAGUUCUUAUUGACCAAAUUGCACAGUUUUAAAGCAAGACCAAUAUUAACUGAGCUUAGUUAAAACAGAUUCCUUGAUGGAGAGUAAAAUCCAGUUGUCACUCUAAUGGACCUUUUCCAUUUAGUUGUGGAGUUUUAUGGUAAGAGUUGACAAAGUACUAGAGAGGGAAUAUUCUGUUAAUAGCAAAUUAACUUGCAAAUGGUGCAUAGCAUAAAUGCCCUUAUAAAAUACUGUUAUCUUGGGUAUUUCAAAUGCCAUGUGUCAUAUUCCCUUUUAUAUUCAGAGCAGGUAAUUAGUACAAAACCAUGGUGCUUAUAUUUUGUUAGAGAUAACAAGCCUUAUAUGCAUAUUUAAAUUAAAAAGUAGUGGGUUGAGAUGGUUUUACAAAUAUGCAUGAUUGAAUGUCACCACCAUUAGCAACUGAGCUUUCAUUGAAAUGUCUUUUUUUUUUUGUAAACAUGAUCUGGGUAUUUGAAGAGCAUCAUGUGUUAAGUGAGAGUGUGAAUUAUAAAUGUGUGUGGAUAAUGGGAAGUCACAUUUGCCCAGGGCUUGCAUCGUGAGUUGCUUUGAGGAAAAAGACCAGGUUUUUGAAAUUCCAUGUUUUGCUGUCUCCUGCAGACACCGUUCUUCUUUGUACCUCUUCUCUCUCUUACCUGCUUUGCAGCACUGACUGUUAAGCCACCAGAUGGAGACCAUGCCACCACAGACACAAGAUCCAAGCAGGCAGCCUUACACCACCACAAGCUGCCAGGAGAGGGGACCAGAGGGCACCACUUGCUCUACAAAGCAGCAGCCACAAGGCUGAAAACACGUGGGAUGAGCACUGCCAGCAGCCCCACAACACUGCCAUGGGCUGCAGGGAAAUGGCUGCAACAGCUGGAACAUCCUGUAGCAGCAGGACACCACAACCUUGGCAGGAUUCAGUGCCUUUGUACCCCACAUCAGGCAGCUGAAUUGCCUUCAACCUCACACUGCAACAGGAAAAAGGAACAAGGCAGUCAUAGUGGACCAGUGCAUGUUUGCACAGCAGUGCAGGUUUGUUGUCUUUACAGAGAUGUAUUAAUGAAGCAAGUGCAGUCUGAAAUUCAGCAGCUGCUCAGAAAGGAGACUGGCUAGCUGGCAGUAAGCAGAAGCAGUUGCAGCCUCGAAUAAAGACCUGGAAAGUGUAUGCAAGGGGAUAAAGAUGGAGAAAAAGAAUCUCUGAACAACUGGAAGUGAUACUGCAUAGAUCGAUCUCCAGGGUCCCGAGGCUCUCAGAGCAUCUGACCAAGCUAACAGGCCUUAGCUGCUGCUACUUCAGAAACUGGGGACAGCCAAUUUUAAAUGUGGAAGAAGGCCCACAUUACAUACAGCUCUGCAUUUUCAGUAAGAAACAGAAGGGGCCUUUGCAUUCUGGGAUCCCAAGACUUGACAAGGGUCAUGGAAAAUGGCUCACCACCAGUUUUCUUGUUUGCUAAUGCAACUAAUUUAUGAUGGGACUGAAGCUGAAUAUUGUGUAAACAAAUCAACUUUCUGAAGUCAAGAGACUGAAGAUGAUUGUCAUCUUUCAUGGAGGAAAAAAACCAAAACUGCUUCUUCAAAUUGCAGGUAGCUAUAAAAACCUCCAGGCAGCAAUUGUUUUGGCAAAAAAGCAUUGUUUUCAAGUUCUGCCAAGGACUAAGGACCUAGAAGAGACUGGAUGGGGAUCUGGGGAUUUAGUGAGCAGUAUGAACUGUGUUAACUUCUUGUUAAAAGUUGAGAUGGAUGAAGGAUUUGGCAUUUGCUUACUGCAGUACAGAGGAAGUAAAAAUCUUUCCUGUUACGAUUUCUCUAGGCACCUAUUCACGCAGUAGGAAAGAGCUGGCUUAAAACUAAGUUCAGGAACCCCAGCCAUCCUAAAAUCCCCCCUAAAGAAAGGAGGAUCUUAAUGCAAGCAAGCUGCUCACCAUAAAUCACCAACCUCCAUCUAAUACCUAGAGUUUGUGAAGAGCAGCUCUUCUGGAAAUGCUACUAAAACCAUCUAUUUCCCCUCCUGGGCUGUACAGGGGAACAGCAGUCAUUAUUGUUUACACAAGAGACACUGCUUGCAGUGUGCCCAGAAUGGCACCUUAUGGCCUAUUUCAGUGGUGCUAAUCCCAGAGGUUUUCUCCUAGACUGGAGUAUUUAGCAGUUUAACUGAAAGUGCCACUUUUUACAGUCAUGUACCUGUGAACUUUUACUGGAAGGUAAACAACCACCUUGGGUGUUUUUGUUUCUUUGUUUAAUGCUCUCUCAUGUAGGGUUUGACCUCUCUGUUGGAACACUUGGCUUCAAUUAUACAAAGGCUUUUUUUUUUUUUUAGGACCAGGUCAGAUCAUUAGUACAUCCUGAAGAAAAAAAACCAAACCCACAGUGAUUUGUAUUUUAGAUGUGUUUGCAAAAUAAAUAAAACAAAUAUUCUUUUAGCAGACCAUGCUGUGAUCACAUGAUCCCAGAUGUCUGCAUAUUCAAAAUUCUUAAGGAAGCUUAAGUCUGUCUCCUCUCCUGCAGAAAUGAUCCUUGUGAAUUUUUCUGCCAGUAUGACAGGUGAUACUGAAAGCAGCAGUGAGGACACGGAGGA